rnacentral:rRNA from 1 species
ACUAUUGGAAACGAUAGCUAAUACCGCAUAAUAUCUUUAAUUGCAUGAUUGAAGUUUGAAAGAUGCAACUGCAUCACUACCAGAUGGACCUGCGUUGUAUUAGCUAGUAGGUGAGGUAAAGGCUCACCUAGGCGACGAUACAUAGCCGACCUGAGAGGGUGAACGGCCACACUGGGACUGAGACACGGCCCAGACUCCUACGGGAGGCAGCAGUAGGGAAUCUUCGGCAAUGGGGGCAACCCUGACCGAGCAACGCCGCGUGAGUGAAGAAGGUUUUCGGAUCGUAAAGCUCUGUUGUAAGAGAAGAACGUGUGUGAGAGUGGAAAGUUCACACAGUGACGGUAACUUACCAGAAAGGGACGGCUAACUACGUGCCAGCAGCCGCGGUAAUACGUAGGUCCCGAGCGUUAUCCGGAUUUAUUGGGCGUAAAGCGAGCGCAGGCGGNUGGAUAAGUCUGAAGUUAAAGGCUGUGGCUCAACCAUAGUAUGCUUUGGAAACUGUUCAACUUGAGUGCANAAGGGGAGAGUGGAAUUCCAUGUGUAGCGGUGGAANUGCGUAGAUAUAUGGAGGAACACCG